GAUGAACGCUGGCGGCGUGCCUAAUACAUGCAAGUCGAGCGAACAGAUGAGGAGCUUGCUCCUCUGACGUUAGCGGCGGACGGGUGAGUAACACGUGGAUAACCUACCUAUAAGACUGGGAUAACUUCGGGAAACCGGAGCUAAUACCGGAUAAUAUAUUGAACCGCAUGGUUCAAUAGUGAAAGACGGUUUUGCUGUCACUUAUAGAUGGAUCCGCGCCGCAUUAGCUAGUUGGUAAGGUAACGGCUUACCAAGGCAACGAUGCGUAGCCGACCUGAGAGGGUGGACCGGCACACUUGGACUUGGGCACGGUUCAGGCUCCCACGGGAAGCAAGAGGUGGGAAUCUUCCGGAAUGGGGCGAAGGCUUGCCGGGGAACGGCGGGGGGAGGGUUAAGGUCUUCCGAUCGGAAAACCUUUUUUAUUGGGAAAAAAAAAUGUGUAAGUAACUAUGCACGUCUUGACGGUACCUAAUCAGAAAGCCACGGCUAACUACGUG
rnacentral:rRNA from 1 species